GGUAGAAGUAGAGGCGGACAAAUUUUUGGCCGGCGGUGACAGGAAAAGUGUACGUGAACGGGGAUCCAGAUAGGCGAGCAGUCGUGUAAGGGACCUGGGAAUCGCCUUGGAUAAGGGCCGUAGAAUAUACUNNNNNNNNNNNAUGGUUCCAGAGGACCGAAUUUCGAUUCCAAGUCUCCAGUCCAUUGGCGGCGAUCAACGGUGGUAUUCUCUGAGGAGCCACAGUUGAGAAGGAUAAGAUCAGAUGGCUGGUACGGAGCAUUAGAAGUAGUGGCGAGGUGAAGAAACAGUGAAAAUAAAAAAAAGAGAAAGAGGGUGGGUUUGAGAGAUGAAAGGUUAAUCAUACUAGUAGUCGUCAAAACGAGCAGAACUGGUGAAGCCCUUCUGUC
rnacentral:misc_RNA from 1 species